GACGAACCGAGCGAACGUUGUUCGGAAUCACUGGGCUUAAGGGGCGCGUAGGCGGGUGCUCAAGUCCGGGGUGAAAUCCUCCAGCUCAACUGGAGAACUGCCUCGGAUACUGGGUGCCUCGAGGGUGGUAGGGGUAUGCGGAACUAUCGGUGGAGCGGUGAAAUGCGUUGAUAUCGAUAGGAACUCCGGUGGCGAAGGCGGCAUACUGGACCACAUCUGACGCUGAGGCGCGAAAGCCAGGGGAGCAAACGGG
rnacentral:rRNA from 1 species